GUGCCAGCAGCCGCGGUAAGACGAACCUUGCUAACGUUAUUCGGAAUUACUGGGCUUAAAGGGUGCGUAGGCGGUGCGGAAAGUCGGGUGUGAAAUCCCCCAGCUCAACUGGGGAAUUGCGCCUGAAACUGCCGUGCUCGAGGAAGACAGAGGUACGCGGAACUUAGGGUGGAGCGGUGAAAUGCGUUGAUAUCCUAAGGAACACCGGUGGCGAAAGCGGCGUACUGGGUCUUAUCUGACGCUGAGGCACGAAAGCUAGGGUAGCGAACGGGAUUAGAUACCCCGGUAGUCC
rnacentral:rRNA from 1 species